GACGAACGCUGGCGGCGUGCUUAACACAUGCAAGUCGAGCGGUAAGGCCCUUUCGGGGUACGACGAGCGGCGAACGGGUGAGUAACACGUGGGUGACCUGCCCUCAGCUCUGGGAGUAAGCCUGGGAAACCGGGUACUAAUACCGGAUAUGACUCCAUGACGCAUGUUGUGGGGUGGAAAGCCUUGUGCGGCUGAGGAUGGGCCCGCGGCCUAUCAGCUUGUUGGUGGGGUGAUGGCCUACCAAGGCGACGACGGGUAGCCGGCCUGAGAGGGCGACCGGCCACACUGGGACUGAGACACGGCCCAGACUCCUACGGGAGGCAGCAGUGGGGAAUCUUGCGCAAUGGGCGAAAGCCUGACGCAGCGACGCCGCGUGAGGGAUGACGGCCUGUGUAAC
rnacentral:rRNA from 1 species